rnacentral:misc_RNA from 1 species
GAUGAAGAACGUAGCGAAAUGUGAAAAGUAGUGUGAAUUGCAGAAUUCAGUGAAUCAUCGAAUCUUUGAACGCACAUUGCGCCCCUCGGUAUUCCGUGGGGCAUGCCUGUUCGAGCGUCAUUUAACCCCUCAAGCCUAGCUUGGUAUUGGGUGCUUGUCCCGCCUCUCGCGCGGCGACUCACCUCAAAGUCAUUGGCAGCCCGCAUCUCGCCGGCCGUGAGCGCAGCACAGACGCGCUCUUGGCAACGACGGAUCGGCUCUCCAAAAGCUUAUUUCAACCACUGACCUCGGAUCAGGUAGGGAUACCCGCUGAACUUAAGCAUAUCAAUAAGCGGAGGA